rnacentral:miRNA from 1 species
GUUGGUGCAAAAGUAAUUGCGGAUUUUGUCAUUGCUUUUUAUUGCAAAAACCACAAUUACUCUGGCACC